UGGCUGUAUGAGAACACGAUGGGACUGC
rnacentral:piRNA from 1 species